AUACGGAGGGAGCAAGCGUUAUUCGGAAUCACUGGGCGUAAAGGACGCGUAGGCGGGUUUGUAAGUCAGGUGUGAAAUCCUACAGCUCAACUGUAGAACUGCACUUGAAACUACAGACCUAGAGUAUGGAAGGGGCAGAUGGAAUUAGUGGUGUAGGGGUAAAAUCCGUAGAUAUCACUAGGAAUACCGAAAGCGAAGGCGAUCUGCUGGGACAUACUGACGCUGAGGCGUGAAAGCGUGGGGAGCAAACAGGAUUAGAAACCCCAGUAGUCC
rnacentral:rRNA from 1 species